rnacentral:rRNA from 1 species
UGGGGAAUAUUGCACAAUGGGCGGAAGCCUGAUGCAGCGACGCCGCGUGAGGGAUGAAGGCCUUCGGGUUGUAAACCUCUUUCAGCGGGGACGAAGCCGCAAGGUGACGGUACCCGCAGAAGAAGCGCCGGCCAACUACGUGCCAGCAGCCGCGGUAAGACGUAGGGCGCGCGCGUUGUCCGGAUUUAUUGGGCGUAAAGAGCUCGUAGGCGGCUUGUCGCGUCGACUGUGAAAACCCGCAGCUUAACUGUGGGCCUGCAGUCGAUACGGGCAGGCUAGAGUGCGGUAGGGGAGACUGGAAUUCCUGGUGUAGCGGUGAAAUGCGCAGAUAUCAGGAGGAACACCGGUGGCGAAGGCGGGUCUCUGGGCCGCUACUGACGCUGAGGAGCGAAAGCGUGGGGAGCGAA